GGGGUAGAGGACCGUCAGACCUAUAGAAGAAGUUAGCUGAAUCUUUUGGGAAAAAGAGCCAAAGACGGUGAAAGCCCGGUAAGCGAAAACAGAAGAUGUAGAGACGGCACCGGAGUACUGCGGGACACGAGAAAUCCCGUAGGAAGCAGGGGGGACCACCCUCCAAGGCAAAACACAGAUAUCGACCGAUAGCGAAUAGUACCAUGAGGGAAAGGUGAAAAGCACCCCGGGAGGGGAAUGAAAGAGAACCUGAAACCGUAUGUUUACAAGCAGUCGAAGACCGCUUAAUAAUAAGGUCAACGGCGUGCCUAUUGAAGAAUGAACCGGCGAGUUACGACAUCCGGCAAGGUUAAGUAGGAAAUACGGAGCCGAAGCGAAAGCGAGUCUGAAUAGGGCGUAAGUCGGAUAGCGUAGACCCGAAACCACAGUGAUCUACCCAUGUCCAGGUUGAAGCACAGGUAAAAAUGUGUGGAGGACCGAACCUAUAUCCGUUGAAAAGGGUUAGGAUGAGGUGUGGGUAGGGGUGAAAUUCCAAUCGAACGUGGAGAUAGCUGGUUCUCCCCGAAAUAGCUUUAGGGCUAGCCUCAUGAAAAGAGAUUACAGGCGGUAGAGCACUGAUCAGGAGAGGGACCUACCCGGUUACCAAACCCAGUCAAACUACGAAUGGCUGUAAUUACACAUGGGAGUCAGACUACGACUUAUAAGGGCCGUAGUCAAAAGGGAAACAGCCCAGACCAACAGCUAAGGUCCCCAAUGCCGUGCUAAGUGGAGAAGGAUGUGGCAUUUCAUAAACAACCAGGAUGUUGGCUCAGAAGCAGCCACCAUUUAAAGAGUGCGUAAUAGCUCACUGGUCGAGAGACGCUGCGCCGAAAAUGUCCGGGGCUCAAGCACGGAACCGAAGCUAUGGCAUGAUAGCAAUAUCAUGGGUAGGGGAGCGUUCUUAUGAGGGAGAAGCAUGACCGGAAGGACAUGUGGACAAAUAAGAAGAGAGAAUGCCGGUAUGAGUAUCGAAAAGAAAGGUGAGAAUCCUUUCCACCGAAAGCCCGAGGGUUCCUGAGCAACGAUCGUCGACUCAGGGUAAGUCGGGACCUAAGCCGAGGCGAAAAGCAUAGGCGAUGGAGAGCAGGUUGAAAUUCCUGCACCGGAUAAAUUCGAUUGACUGAUGGAGAGACGCAGGAAGGUACAUGAGCGCGCGAAUGGAAGAGCGCGUCUAAGUGCGUAUGGGAAUAUAGAGGCAAAUCCCUAUAUUCAAAACCAAAGACAUGAUGGGGAGUUAAAGGAAACUUUGACGAACUCAUGGAUCCCACACUGCCAAGAAAAACUUCUAAGGAGAAGAUAUCCGCCCGUACCGUAAACCGACACAGGUAGGCGGGGAGAGAAUCCUAAGGUGCGCGGGAAAACCCUCGUUAAGGAACUCGGCAAAUUGCAUCCGUAACUUCGGGAAAAGGAUGACCCUAAGUAAGCGAAGAGACGAAACGCUUGGAACAGAACAGGGUGGCAGAAAAGAGGCCCAAGCAACUGUUUACCAAAAACACAGGUGCCUGCGAAAGCGAAAGCUGAAGUAUAGGUGCUGACGCCUGCCCGGUGCCGGAAGGUUAAGGAGAGAUGUCAGCUAAGGCGAAGCAUUGAACUGAAGCCCCGGUGAACGGCGGCCGUAACUAUAACGGUCCUAAGGUAGCGAAAUUCCUUGUCGGGUAAGUUCCGACCCGCAUGAAAGGCGUAAUGAUUUGGGCACUGUCUCAACGAGGGGCCCGGUGAAAUUGAAAUACCUGUGAAGAUGCAGGUUACCCGCGACUGGACAGAAAGACCCCAUGGAGCUUCACUGCAGCUUGAGAUUGAAUUUCGGUGAUAGACGCACAGGAUAGGUGGGAGAC
rnacentral:ncRNA from 1 species